GACGAACGCUGGCGGCGUGCUUAACACAUGCAAGUCGAACGGAAAGGCCCUGCUUUUGUGGGGUGCUCGAGUGGCGAACGGGUGAGUAACACGUGAGUAACCUGCCCUUGACUUUGGGAUAACUUCAGGAAACUGGGGCUAAUACCGGAUAGGAGCUCCUGCUGCAUGUGGGGGGUUGGAAAGUUUCGGCGGUUGGGGAUGGACUCGCGGCUUAUCAGCUUGUUGGUGGGGUAGGUGCUUACCAAGGCUUUGACGGGUAGCCGGCCUGAGAGGGUGACCGGCCACAUUGGGACUGAGAUACGGCCCAGACUCCUACGGGAGGCAGCAGUGGGGAAUAUUGCACAAUGGGCGGAAGCCUGAUGCAGCAACGCCGCGUGCGGGAUGACGGCCUUCGGGUUGUAAACCGCUUUCGCCUGUGACGAAGAGUGAGUGACGGUAAUGGGUAAAGAAGCACCGGCUAACUACGUG
rnacentral:rRNA from 1 species